rnacentral:rRNA from 1 species
UACGGGGGGGGCAAGCGUUGUUCGGAAUUACUGGGCGUAAAGGGCUCGUAGGUGGCCAACUAAGUCAUACGUGAAAUCCCUCAGCUUAACUGGGGAACUGCGUGUGAUACUGGAUGGCUUGGAUUUGGGAGAGGGAUGCGGAAUUCCAGGUGUAGCGGUGAAAUGCGUAGAUAUCUGGAGGAACACCGGUGGCGAAGGCGGCGUUCUGGACUGCAACUGACACUGAGGAACGAAAGCCAGGGGAGCAAACGGG